rnacentral:snRNA from 1 species
GUGUCUGCUUUGGCAACACAUAUACUAAAAUUGGAAAGAUACAGAGAAGAUUAGCAUACAUACAUACUACACACCUCAUACAUAGAAGAAUACAAAUUUAUU